rnacentral:lncRNA from 1 species
UCGAUUUGCCUUUGUUUUUUUUCUUGCGUUUGUUCUUUUGGCUGUUGGCUAUGUCACUUGCCAAAGGAGAGUUGCCCUGUCACUGCUUCCGCUUAAACACAAAUCUUGAAACCGGUUCUGCUAAAUUCCAAGUCUUCCUUUUAUACAUAUCCGAAACAGAGAUUGAUGAAUCUAUCAGAGUAAGUAGUUUACACUUUUCACCAUAUUCCUUAUUAUGAUUUACAUUUUCACGUGAAAACACACUUGCAUUUCUUGUUCUUCCGGUAAAUGUAACAAGAAAUCAUUUAUAUGUUGUUCUGUUACUCUAAUGCAGAAAUUAUGUUCCUAAUUCAAAGUAAAAGUUCCAAGAACCGGAACCAUCUCUCUGGGAUUAUCGUAGACUAACAAAUAAUUUCAGAAGCGGAGGUUGGAGGAAAACGCCGCUGACGCAAACCUUCUGCUUAAGUUGGAAUCUCUCUCUCUCUCUAUCUUAGAGAGGAGAUUUUGGGCCUUAUUUGUGAUCAUUUAUCUAAAUGGGCCUUUGUACUUAUUUAUUCUUUCAUAAAGGCCUUAUUGACUUAAUUGUAUAAAGAAGUACAUAAUAAGUUAACG